rnacentral:rRNA from 1 species
UAAUUUAAGAGUUUUAUCAUGGCUCAGAUUAAAUUCUGUCGGCAGGCCUAACACAUGCAAGUCGAGCAACAGUGGGAAGAAGCCUGCUUCCUUGCCGGCGAGCGGGUGAGUAAUUUCUGGCGAUCUGCCCGAUGGACUGGCGUAUAACGUCGCAAGACCAAAAUGGUGGACCUUAGAGCCUCACGCCUCUGUUAAGUCAGAGGCGAAAUCCCCGAGUUUAAAAUUAGGAACUGCAUUUUGAAACUGGCAAGCUAGAGUCUCGUAGAGGGAGGGUAAUGCCAGGUCUAGCGGUGAAAUGCGUAGAGAUAUGAAAGAAUACCGGUGGCGAAGGCGGGCCCCGUAGCCGAAGACUAACGCUCAGGUACGAAAGCGUGGGCAGCAAAAAAAAUUAGAUACCC